rnacentral:rRNA from 1 species
UGCACGAAUGGCGUAAUGAUGGCCAGGCUGUCUCCACCCGAGACUCAGUGAAAUUGAACUCGCUGUGAAGAUGCAGUGUACCCGCGGCAAGACGGAAAGACCCCGUGAACCUUUACUAUAGCUUGACACUGAACAUUGAGCCUUGAUGUGUAGGAUAGGUGGGAGGCUUUGAAGUGUGGACGCCAGUCUGCAUGGAGCCGACCUUGAAAUACCACCCUUUAAUGUUUGAUGUUCUAACGUGGACCCGUAAUCCGGGUUGCGGACAGUGUCUGGUGGGUAGUUUGACUGGGGCGGUCUCCUCCUAAAGAGUAACGGAGGAGCACGAAGGUUGGCUAAUCCUGGUCGGACAUCAGGAGGUUAGUGCAAUGGCAUAAGCCAGCUUGACUGCGAGCGUGACGGCGCGAGCAGGUGCGAAAGCAGGUCAUAGUGAUCCGGUGGUUCUGAAUGGAAGGGCCAUCGCUCAACGGAUAAAAGGUACUCCGGGGAUAACAGGCUGAUACCGCCCAAGAGUUCAUAUCGACGGCGGUGUUUGGCACCUCGAUGUCGGCUCAUCACAUCCUGGGGCUGAAGUAGGUCCCAAGGGUAUGGCUGUUCGCCAUUUAAAGUGGUACGCGAGCUGGGUUUAGAACGUCGUGAGACAGUUCGGUCCCUAUCUGCCGUGGGCGCUGGAGAACUGAGGGGGGCUGCUCCUAGUACGAGAGGACCGGAGUGGACGCAUCACUGGUGUUCGGGUUGUCAUGCCAAUGGCACUGCCCGGUAGCUAAAUGCGGAAGAGAUAAGUGCUGAAAGCAUCUAAGCACGAAACUUGCCCCGA